rnacentral:rRNA from 1 species
AGAGUUUGAUCCUGGCUCAGGAUGAACGCUAGCGGCAGGCCUAACACAUGCAAGUCGAACGGUAACAGGUCCUUCGGGACGCUGACGAGUGGCGCACGGGUGCGUAACGCGUAUGCAAUCUGCCUUGUACUGGGGUAUAGCCCAGGGAAACUUGGAUUAAUCCCCCAUGGUAUGUAAAUGUGGCAUCACAUUUCCAUUAAGGGUUACGGUACAAGAUGAGCAUGCGUCCUAUUAGCUAGUAGGUGUGGUAACGGCACACCUAGGCUACGAUAGGUAGGGGUCCUGAGAGGGAGAUCCCCCACACUGGUACUGAGACACGGACCAGACUCCUACGGGAGGCAGCAGUGAGGAAUAUUGGACAAUGGACGAAAGUCUGAUCCAGCCAUGCCGCGUGCAGGAAGACGGCCCUAUGGGUUGUAAACUGCUUUUAUACGGGAAGAAUAAGGACUACGUGUAGUCCGAUGACGGUACCGUAAGAAUAAGCACCGGCUAACUCCGUGCCAGCAGCCGCGGUAAUACGGAGGGUGCAAGCGUUAUCCGGAAUCAUUGGGUUUAAAGGGUCCGUANGUGGACUGAUAAGUCAGUGGUGAAAGUCUGCAGCUCAACUGUAGAAUUGCCAUUGAAACUGUUAGUCUUGAAUUGUUAUGAAGUAGCUAGAAUAUG